UCCGAGUUGACCCCGGCAGUCUCCUAUGAGUCCCCGACAUUACUCGCUGGCAACAUAGGACGAGGGUUGCGCUCGUUGCGGGACUUAACCCAACAUCUCACGACACGAGCUGACGACAACCAUGCACCACCUGUAUACCGCCCUUGCGGACCCCAUAUCUCUAUGAGUUUUCGGUAUAUGUCAAGCCUUGGUAAGGUUCUUCGCGUUGCGUCGAAUUAAGCCACAUGCUCCGCCGCUUGUGCGGGCCCCCGUCAAUUCCUUUGAGUUUUAGCCUUGCGGCCGUACUCCCCAGGCGGGGCGCUUAAUGCGUUAGCUGCGGCACGGAGAACGUGGAAGGUUCCCCACACCUAGCGCCCAACGUUUACGGCGUGGACUAC
rnacentral:misc_RNA from 1 species